UAAUCCGACACCAGCUGGUCACCUGAUCAUCCUGUCGUGCUGGUGUUACCAAGUUACCUUGACAACGAGCAGCGAGCCAUGUCCUCCUCGGCAGAAGAGACUCACCGGGACAGAAAACAGGACGAAGAUCCUCAGAAGUCUCUCCUGACUGAUCAGCUGAUCUCACACCUGAUGGAAAACAAUGACGAUCAACUCCUGACGAUCAGGCGAAGAUGCACACAGAGCAGGCAGAGUUGGUCAGGGAUCUGCAGCACAGGGAACAAGAGGUAAGUAUCCAGAGUUGAACUGAACUCCAAACCUUCAGUCAGGGGCCUCCAUCAUUCAGGUCCAGAUAACAGCAACAGCUUAAGGUGGGUACACACUACAGG